rnacentral:piRNA from 1 species
UAUUUACUCACUGGAAAAUUG